UACGAAGGGGGCUAGCGUUGUUCGGAAUCACUGGGCGUAAAGGGCGCGUAGGCGGGAUGGCAAGUCGGUCGUGAAAUCCUUCGGCUCAACCGAAGAACGUCGGCCGAUACUGCCGUUCUUGAGGGAUGCAGAGGAGAUUGGAAUUCCCGGUGUAGCGGUGAAAUGUGUAGAGAUCGGGAGGAACGACCGGUGGCGAAGGCGGGUCUCUGGGCAUCUCCUGACGCUGAGGCGCGAAAGCGUGGGGAGCAAACGGG
rnacentral:rRNA from 1 species